AUAUUUUCACACCAGA
rnacentral:sRNA from 1 species